rnacentral:piRNA from 1 species
AAAAACUCUUAUGCAUUGGUUGUUAA